AUGGUGGAGCUGAUGGCAGUUGCCUCCUCCCCCCUCCCCAAAAGGUGCAAACUCUCGAACGUCUCCCUCAUUCCCCUCUUACCUACUCAUUCGUUCUUCCAUCGGCGCCGCAGCAACAGUGGAGGCGGAGCGGCCCACGGGUUCCUGGCUUACCUGCCACGCGGCGAGGUAGCCGCGGCCGGACUAGGAGCCUCGACAUCUAGGAUUCGCAGGCCGUGGUCGACUUCUGCUCCGAACAUCACAGGUCGUAUGAUGCGCAAGAGAGUUGAAGCCCGCCGCGUUCCAACUCUGAGGGAUGUGCAUCCACACACGAAAUGGAGUUUAUGUCUCAGAGUAUACCACAAAUUCCACAUUGAACGAAUUGGCUUUGGUAGGAAGAGACUAAACUUGGUCGUGUUGGACACAGAGGAGGACAUGAAAGAAUUUCGACGAAAAUUAGCUGUCAUACUGUUGGAAACAGAACUUAAUAUGUUAAAAGGAAGUCCAAUAUAUUAUCAGCCUGACAAUGAAGAAAAUGUAUCUGAUUCUGAUGUUGAGUUUCUGGAGGAUCGAAAGCGUAAGCGGCAAGAUUCACCCGAUGGAGCCAAAGACAAAAGCCCCCUUCCGAACCCUAUCAUCGCCGCGGACCCGCAAGAUUUAGUUGACGAACUAUGCAACCACAUCAUGUUAAUUAAUGAUGCUGAUUCCCUGGAAAAGGAGUGGGUGCGAAGCUCUAAACCCCAUCUGAUAGGAUUAAGUCUCAGAAGGAUUCAAGGUAUACUCCACAGGGAUCAGCCGUUGGACAUUGAUUGUUUCAACAUGGCUAUACGUAUACUUGCAUGUGACAAGGCCUUACUGCCAGUAGAUCCUCCAGUGCGCUUUAUGGAUCUACAAUUUUGUACGUCCGUGAUCGAGGCCGCCCUCGCUUCCGCACGAGAUUUAGAUUCGCGGGUACAGCCAGAUAUUCAGGCGCUAGCAUCGUUGCUCCGUAGCUCGACUGAGAUAGACAACAUAUCAUCAUGCAAUUGGAUAUUGCUCCCUCAUGCAUUCCUCGGCCACUACAUCUUGUUCGCAAUCGACAAACAUUCACGUCAAGUAACUAUUUUGGACCCACUAUUUCCGCCCUUAUCCCCAGAGAGAUAUGCGUUAAAAUUUCAGAGGGUUGCAUUCUACCUGAAUGAUGCACUCGAAUUAGCACAACCGGGUUGGAAGUCUGAUACAUUUGCCUGGCCACGUAAAUCACCAAUUGAUGUUCCGAUGAGCCUAGACCGGAAUGAAUCUGGUUAUUUUGUUUUCAAUUAUAUGCUCUGGCAUGGUAACAAAUUUGUUCGUCCAAUUUGCACGGAUGGUUAUGAGUUGAGAAAGAAUAUUUUGAUACACUUGCUCGAGCAUGAUGCGAAUGAAGCUGAAGACAAUAUCCCAUAUGAUGUACGAGAAAUUCUCAAGUGCCUCAAGUAUGAAAACCCUAUGUUUGUGAGAAAUCGACCCGCGGUCUUUCUUCUAUCUUAUCCAGACGUUCCUUUCCAGCGCGGCGGGGCGGCGCCCUUCACCGCGGCGACAGCUCCAGGUGGGCUCGCGGGAGACGGCGCUGGGCUUGGGAGAUGCGGCUGCGAGGGCUCCGCAUCAGGCAGCGACAGCGAGGCGGGGAUGCGGCGCUGCGCUUCCGGGAUGCAGCGGCGAGGCGUCGAGGCAGCGCUGCGCUCGGGCGCCACAUCAGGCGGCAGCAGCGAGGCGGGAGGCGCACACGGAGAUGAAGGAGGGGAAAAUGGAGAGUCGGCCGGGGCGAGGAGUUCGCCGACGUCGAAGCCACGGACCCCGGCGCUGCAAGCUUGCAGGGGGCGGUGGCCAUGGCCGGGAGGCGGCGCUGAGUUCGGGCGCCGCAUGCCUCCUCUGUCGCUCCUUGUUUCUUUAUUCCCCAACUCCUCUCUUGCACGUCGUCAUCUUGCCGCCCACGCAGCAAAGAGAUCGAGGAAGAGGCGAGAGUCGGAGAAGCACAUCUCUGAAAUUCACAGUUUUGAACCCAAAGAGACGCAUCUAGACAAUGGUUGCAUCAGUGGUUCCAGUGUCAUAUACGCCAACAUGGUGGCCAAUCUUAUUGAGAAGAAUGACACAACAGCAGGCAGUGGAUCAGAGCCCAAACUCUCACUUGUUAGGAUAAAGGUGGACUACUCUGUGUUCUUAACAAUACACCCCCAACGGUUUGGUCAAAAGUUGCCAAUCCACAAGUCAUUGUUGUUUUCUGAAGAUCAGCAAAAUGGCGCCAAAAUAUGCACGACAAUGCUUGAGGUUCCGGAGAACUCUACCCAAAUGAGCUUAAUCAACACACUGUCGAAGCUCUGGUUCCGGAAAAAUAUGCAGGUUCUUCCACUGGACAACCUGGACACUGCCAUUCAUGUUUUCGUCAACAAGGCAGACAAUAUGGCAUUUCACUCUUGCCUGCAGAAGAACACCGAAGAGGCAAUAGUAGAACGAGUUGACCAUCACCAAGAAAUCCUCACCUUGAAGAAUGAAGCCAAUGGUGAACAAGGAUGUUCUUUCUACCAAAGAACCAGGCCAUGCCGAGGUAGUGGUGUGGUUCGGAUGAUGGUGGUGAGGCUAAAAUAUGGGAGAUGA
rnacentral:rRNA from 1 species